rnacentral:rRNA from 1 species
GGUAUUUUGACCGUGCAAAGGUAGCAUAAUCAUUAGUUUUUUAAUUGAAAGCUGGAAUGAAAGGUUGGAUGAGAAAGAAGCUGUCUCUAUUUAAUUUAUUUAGAAUUUUAUUUUUAAGUUAAAAAGCUUAAAUUUUAAUAGAAGACGAGAAGACCCUAUAGAGUUUGAUUAAUUUUUUUAAUAAAGUUAAUAGGAUUUUUUAUUUUUAUGAAAAAAAUUAAUUUAGUUGGGGUGAUUGAAAAAUUAAAUAAACUUUUUUUUUAUGAAUACAUAAAUUUAUGAGUAGUUGAUCCUUAGUUAGAGAUUAAAAGAUAAAAUUACCUUAGGGAUAACAGCGUAAUUUUUUUUGAGAGUUCAAAUCGAAAGAAAAGAUUGCGACCUCGAUGUUGGAUUAAAAUAAAAUUUUGGUGUAGAAGCUAAAG